rnacentral:rRNA from 1 species
AGGGUGCAAGCGUUACUCGGAAUUACUGGGCGUAAAGCGUGCGCAGGCGGUUUUGUAAGCCAGAUGUGAAAUCCCCGGGCUUAACCUGGGAAUGGCAUUUGGGACUGCAAGGCUUGAGUGUGGCAGAGGGGACUGGAAUUCCUGGUGUAGCAGUGAAAUGCGUAGAGAUCAGGAGGAAUACCGAUGGCGAAGGCAGGUCCCUGGGCUGACACUGACGCUCAUGCACGAAGGCCAGGGGAGCAAACGGG